rnacentral:rRNA from 1 species
GGUCAAGUGAAGAAGCGCAUACGGUGGAUGCCUUGGCAGUCAGAGGCGAUGAAAGACGUGGUAGCCUGCGAAAAGCUUCGGGGAGUCGGCAAACAGACUGUGAUCCGGAGAUGUCUGAAUGGGGGAACCCAGCCAUCAUAAGAUGGUUAUCUUACACUGAAUACAUAGGUGUAAGAGGCGAACCAGGGGAACUGAAACAUCUAAGUACCCUGAGGAAAAGAAAUCAACCGAGAUUCCCUUAGUAGUGGCGAGCGAACGGGGACCAGCCCUUAAGUUGUAUUGAGAUUAGCGGAACGCUCUGGAAAGUGCGGCCAUAGUGGGUGAUAGCCCUGUACGCGAAAAUCCCUUUGCAAUGAAAUCGAGUAGGACGGGGCACGAGAAACCUUGUCUGAAUAUGGGGGGACCAUCCUCCAAGGCUAAAUACUACUGACUGACCGAUAGUGAACCAGUACCGUGAGGGAAAGGCGAAAAGAACCGCGGAGAGCGGAGUGAAAUAGAUCCUGAAACCGUAUGCGUACAAGCAGUGGGAGCCCACUUUGUUGGGUGACUGCGUACCUUUUGUAUAAUGGGUCAGCGACUUAUUUUCAGUGGCGAGCUUAACCGAAUAGGGGAGGCGUAGCGAAAGCGAGUCUUAAUAGGGCGUCUAGUCGCUGGGAAUAGACCCGAAACCGGGCGAUCUAUCCAUGGGCAGGUUGAAGGUUGGGUAACACUAACUGGAGGACCGAACCGACUACCGUUGAAAAGUUAGCGGAUGACCUGUGGAUCGGAGUGAAAGGCUAAUCAAGCUCGGAGAUAGCUGGUUCUCCUCGAAAGCUAUUUAGGUAGCGCCUCAUGUAUCACUGUAGGGGGUAGAGCACUGUUUCGGCUAGGGGGUCAUCCCGACUUACCAAACCGAUGCAAACUCCGAAUACCUACAAGUGCCGAGCAUGGGAGACACACGGCGGGUGCUAACGUCCGUCGUGAAAAGGGAAACAACCCAGACCGUCAGCUAAGGUCCCAAAGUCAUGGUUAAGUGGGAAACGAUGUGGGAAGGCUUAGACAGCUAGGAGGUUGGCUUAGAAGCAGCCACCCUUUAAAGAAAGCGUAAUAGCUCACUAGUCGAGUCGGCCUGCGCGGAAGAUGUAACGGGGCUCAAACCAUGCACCGAAGCUACGGGUAUCAUCUUAUGAUGAUGCGGUAGAGGAGCGUUCUGUAAGCCUGUGAAGGUGAGUUGAGAAGCUUGCUGGAGGUAUCAGAAGUGCGAAUGCUGACAUGAGUAACGACAAUGGGUGUGAAAAACACCCACGCCGAAAGACCAAGGUUUCCUGCGCAACGUUAAUCGACGCAGGGUUAGUCGGUCCCUAAGGCGAGGCUGAAAAGCGUAGUCGAUGGAAAACAGGUUAAUAUUCCUGUACUUCUGGUUAUUGCGAUGGAGGGACGGAGAAGGCUAGGCCAGCCUGGCGUUGGUAGUCCAGGUUUAAGGUGGUAGGCUGAGAUCUUAGGUAAAUCCGGGAUCUUAAGGCCGAGAGCUGAUGACGAGUGUUCUUUUAGAACAUGAAGUGGUUGAUGCCAUGCUUCCAAGAAAAGCUUCUAAGCUUCAGGUAACCAGGAACCGUACCCCAAACCGACACAGGUGGUUGGGUAGAGAAUACCAAGGCGCUUGAGAGAACUCGGGUGAAGGAACUAGGCAAAAUGGCACCGUAACUUCGGGAGAAGGUGCGCCGGUGAGGGUGAAGCAUUUACUGCGUAAGCCCACGCCGGUCGAAGAUACCAGGCCGCUGCGACUGUUUAUUAAAAACACAGCACUCUGCAAACACGAAAGUGGACGUAUAGGGUGUGACGCCUGCCCGGUGCCGGAAGGUUAAUUGAUGGGGUUAGCGCAAGCGAAGCUCUUGAUCGAAGCCCCGGUAAACGGCGGCCGUAACUAUAACGGUCCUAAGGUAGCGAAAUUCCUUGUCGGGUAAGUUCCGACCUGCACGAAUGGCGUAACGAUGGCGGCGCUGUCUCCACCCGAGACUCAGUGAAAUUGAAAUCGCUGUGAAGAUGCAGUGUAUCCGCGGCUAGACGGAAAGACCCCGUGAACCUUUACUAUAGCUUUGCACUGGACUUUGAAUUUGCUUGUGUAGGAUAGGUGGGAGGCUUUGAAGCGUGGACGCCAGUCUGCGUGGAGCCAACCUUGAAAUACCACCCUGGCAACUUUGAGGUUCUAACUCAGGUCCGUUAUCCGGAUCGAGGACAGUGUAUGGUGGGUAGUUUGACUGGGGCGGUCUCCUCCUAAAGAGUAACGGAGGAGUACGAAGGUGCGCUCAGACCGGUCGGAAAUCGGUCGUAGAGUAUAAAGGCAAAAGCGCGCUUGACUGCGAGACAGACACGUCGAGCAGGUACGAAAGUAGGUCUUAGUGAUCCGGUGGUUCUGUAUGGAAGGGCCAUCGCUCAACGGAUAAAAGGUACUCCGGGGAUAACAGGCUGAUACCGCCCAAGAGUUCAUAUCGACGGCGGUGUUUGGCACCUCGAUGUCGGCUCAUCACAUCCUGGGGCUGAAGCCGGUCCCAAGGGUAUGGCUGUUCGCCAUUUAAAGUGGUACGCGAGCUGGGUUUAGAACGUCGUGAGACAGUUCGGUCCCUAUCUGCCGUGGACGUUUGAGAUUUGAGAGGGGCUGCUCCUAGUUUGGGUUUAGAACGUCGUGAGACAGUUCGGUCCCUAUCUGCCGUGGACGUUUGAGAUUUGAGAGGGGCUGCUCCUAGUACGAGAGGACCGGAGUGGACGAACCUCUGGUGUUCCGGUUGUCACGCCAGUGGCAUUGCCGGGUAGCUAUGUUCGGAAAAGAUAACCGCUGAAAGCAUCUAAGCGGGAAACUUGCCUCAAGAUGAGAUCUCACUGGAACCUUGAGUUCCCUGAAGGGCCGUCGAAGACUACGACGUUGAUAGGUUGGGUGUGUAAGCGCUGUGAGGCGUUGAGCUAACCAAUACUAAUUGCCCGUGAGGCUUGACCAUAUAACACCCA